rnacentral:sRNA from 1 species
AAUGGAUUCAGCAAUGUAUAAUUGAAUGUUUUCUGAAUCCACUGAAUUUAGCAGAACUGACGUACGGGAUCGGUACGGUUAACAACUUGACUUUUGUCUGUCCUUCGCAAGAGAUGAAAAUGAGAAAUAAAUACGUUCACACCUUUGUAAUAGCUAACUAACCGGAUUAAGUUCCUGUUUAUUGUUAUACGAGUGCCCUGAGGGUAAUUAGCACCUUGUUUAUUGGGGUCUGUGUAUAGGAUAGACAACGAAUAUCGCUGGUUAUGGGAUUUAGACGCGAGCUUUAGCGAGCGUCUUAAUCCCAUAACAAGCGAUAUGAGAUGUCUAUCCGACUUAGACCACGUGACUUACUAAUGUACAUGUACCGUUAAACAAAUUAAAGAAACCGUUCAUUUUAAUACUGCGCUUCUGUAGACAUUAGAAACCACUCUGGUAAAGUAACUUUUUGUACGCGAAUGUAUGAGAAUGGGUUUGAUGCUCAGGCAAUUAUGAGCCGCAGCGGCCACCGCAAUACUGCCGUGCGUGACUAUAAACGUCCAUCACAUACGCUCUUAGAACAAGUUAGUUCACAAGUCACUGCAGCCACCAUCUUU